UCGCCACAGAGUGUCUUUGGUAAGCACGUGUGCCUAGAAUUUUCAGCUGUUUUCAGUGUUUUAGUGAUCUUUUGUGACUUAUUUUUGUGAUUGUGUGUUGUCCUUGUGUUUGUUACCAGUAGUGUAGUGUUAUUUAGUGCCGUCCUACUAACACGAUAAGUUACACAAGUUUGACUACAACAUCAACUUAAUUUUGUUUUUUUGUCAAUCACAAGCACUACUUGCUUCUCCUUCCACUUGUCAUUGGCAGAAUCGUCGACGUUUGCAUCGACAUGGAUUGCCAUAAAUAAAAAUAGAAUAG
rnacentral:misc_RNA from 1 species